ACCUGAAACAAUAACAUGAUCAUAAAUUUAAAAAUAUUCGAUGGGACAGGCGCAGUGGCUCAAGCCUGUAAUCCCAGCACUUUGGGAGGCGGAGGCGGGUGGAUCACGAGGUCAAGAGAUCGAGACCAUCCUGGUCAACACGGUGAAACCCUGUCUCUACUAAAAUUACAAAAAAUUAGCUGGGCACAGUGGCGCAUGCCUGUAAUCCCAGCUACUCUGGAGGCUGAGGCAGGAGAAUUGCCUGAACCCAGGGGGCAGAGGUUGCGGUGAGCCGAGAUUGCGCCACUGCACUCCAGCCUGGGUAACAAGCAAAACUCCGUCUCAAAAAAAAAAAAAUAUUCGAGCAUUAGGAAGUUAACAACUGUUCAAUAAUCCUCUAUAUAUACUUAAAAACUUUUUGAGCCUCUGCUUUUAAAUUUUAUUAUUUUAUUAAUUUAGUGAUUAAUGUAUUUUUUUAGGCGGAGUCUUAUGCUGUUGCCCAGGCUGGAGUGCAGUGGGGUGAUCUUGGGUCCAUGCAACCUCUGACUCCCGGGUUCAAGUGAUUCUCCUGCCUCAGCCUCUCCUGAGCAACUGGGAUUACAGGCACAUGCUGCCACGCCCAGCUAAUUUUUUGUACUUUUAGUAGAGAUAGGGUUUUACCAUAUAGCACAAGCUCGUCUUGAACUCCAGACCUCAGGUGACCCGUCCACCUCAGCCUUCCAAAGUGCUGGGAUUACAGGCGUGAGCCACUGUGCCCACCCAAUUUUAUUAUUAUUUUUGAAAAGGUCUUGCUCUGUUGUCCAGGCUGGAAUGCAGUGUCACGAUCUUGGCUUACUGCAACCUUGACCUCCCAAGCUCAAAUGAUCCUCCCACCUCAGCCCCCCAAGUAGUUGGGACUACAGGUGCACACUAUCACACCCAGCUAAUUUUUGUGGAGACUGGGUUUUGCUGUGUUGCUAGGCUGGUCUGCAAUGCCUGUGGUCAAGUGAUCUGCCCAUCUAGACCUCCCAAAGUGCUGGGAUCAUAGGCAUGAGCCACCACACCCAGCCUUAAGCCUUUGCUUUUUACUAAGAAUGUAAGAGAUGACAUCAACUGAGAAGUAGAAAUGUACUUAUUGAAAAUGUAAUAACUUCCUAUGAUAAAGCAUAAUUUAAAAAAAAGAACUAGGCUGGGCGCGAUGGCUCAUGCCUGUAAUCUCAGCACAUUGGGAAGCCAAGGCAGGUAAGGAGUUUGAAACCAGCCUGACCAACAUGGUGAAGCCCCAUCUAUACUAAAAAUAUAAAAAUUAGCCGGGUGUGAUGGCAGAUCCCUGUAAUCCCAGCUACUCCGGAGGCUGAGGCAGGAGAAUUGCUUGAACAUGGGAGCCGGAGGUUGCAGUGAGCCAAGACUGCACCAUUGCACUCCAGCAAGGGCAUGAGAGCAAAACUCCAUCUCAAAAAAACAAAAAACUUCCCUUUAAUUUCUAAAUCCAAUUUAUAUGUAAUGAAAAAGGUGGCAUUAAUUUAAAAACAACUGCUUCUGUGUGUUACUUCACAUUAUCUGUAAUUUCUUGUCUGCUUUGUCUUCAUUUACUUUGGUUUUAUGCACCUAUAAUUCUUCUGACAUUUUCCAAAUGUGUGGCUUGCUUCUCAUAGCUUACAAUUAACUCGAAAUAAUAUCCCACUGCUGCCUGGCAGACUCCAGAGCUGUCUACGUUCAUAUACCAGUCUUUUCAAGAAAAACAAUCUUGGCCAGGUACAGUGGCUCAUGCCUGUAAUCCCAGCACUUUAGGAAGCCGAGGCGUGUGGAUCAGGAGUUCAAGACCAGCCUGGCCAACAAGGUGAAAGGAGGAAACCACUGAGAGGCUGUGAGCAAGCGAGUGACACAACCUCCAUCUUAACUCACCUGAAAGGCACACAUGGUCUACCAAGACUAAACUACAGCCUACUAUAAUAAUCCAGAAGGAAGAUGAUAGUGGCUUGAGCCAAGUGGUAGCCAUGGAAGCCAUAACAACUGGUCCAACUGUGAACAGAUUUUUAAUAGAGCCAAUAGGAUAUGUGAGUGGGAUGAUGUGAGAGGAUGAUUCCAAGGCACCUGAUCUAGGCAGCUGGAAGGAUGGAGCCACCAUCAGCAGAGACGACCACCAAAGGAAGGGGUUGGUUAGAAGAAAGUCAGGAACUGGAUUUGGGAUAUGUUAACUUUGCAGUGGCUACCAGACAUCCAGUAGAUGUCUAAUGAAGAUUUCAAAUAAGCAGUAGGAUGUUCAAGUCUGGAGUUCACAGGUUUGAGAUACAAAUUUGUAGUUGUCAGAAUAUUGAUGUUAUUUAAAGAUCCAUGGACCUGGAUGAAAUCUCUCAGGAAUAGGUACAGAUGAUGCAGAGAAGUUGAGAGAAUGAAUCCAGGGGGCAGCUGCCGGAUAAGGAGGAACCAGCAGGGUAGGAGGAGGUGUAGAGACAUCCUAGGAGCAAGGAGGGGACGAUCAAGUAGGGGAUGCUGCCAGGGACUGGAGUUCACGGUCAUGUUCAGCCCUGAGCUGGCUGCAGGAGACUAGGAAAGAAGGCUGAAGAAGUGAGUGUCACAAGCAUUUCUGAGUUUUACUAUUAUGACGGCAGAAACACGGAGUGGUGGCUAAAGAGGGAAAUGGGCCCAAGAUCGGGAGAAAUGCUGGCAUGUUUCAUGCCUGUGUGUUGCUGAUGGGUACCUUUAGUAUGGGAAGGGGUGGUAACACAAGAGGGAUCUCAUGGAAUGAAUGUCCUUGGGUGAGCAGGAGAUAAGAUCCCAGCCCAAGGAAGGACUGACUGUGACUAAGAGAUGGAUGGUUCCUUUCUAGCAACAAGAGGGGUUAGGAAGGGGGUACAGGGAGGAUGCUGGAUGUGGCUGGAAGGGAAGGGAAGGCAGAGGAUAACCUGUGGAAGGUCCCUCAUUCCUGGUUCUACUUCUCAGUGAAAUGGUAAACGUGCCAUCAGAUGAAAGCAAAGGUAUGCAUGGGAGGGAGGGAUGUGGGCAAUGCAGAGGAGGGCAGCCCAGCUGCUGCCUAGUCACAGCACGGGAUGAUCCACCCAAGGGCAGGCCUGUGCCCAGCAUACUGUUCAGUACUCACCAUCUUCUGAGUAGACUUAGCCACAUGAAUUUCCCACAAAAACUUAACACUGACUUUCAAUAAUAAAUAAUAAAUGAAACUCAAUAAAGAACAGUUAAAAACAUACUAUCCCUAGGGUAUUGCUUCUGUCUUCAAAGAGCUUUUCAACAGUCACACCACAACUGUUGCUAAUAACCCACCUGCCGUUCUCCAUCCUGGUCAUCUCGUAUCAUCAAUCAAGCAAUAGCCAGUCUCCCCUCACAGCAUAAAGUGGACUAAACAAUACACACGAAUUCAAAGGAAGUGGACUUCACCUCUUGUUCUCCUCUUUCUCCAGCAGCAGACUGCUCGACAAACACUGUGUCAGGCGCUCCUCAGCAGAAGCUCCUCGCAUCAGAUCCUCUGUGCUGGGAACCCUCCCCUCUCGACCACACUCUGUGCUCCUCUUCCAGUUACCGUCCAUGUGAAGCAAAGGUAUGGGAAAAUUGUUUGCAGAAGCAUGAAAAGUCUUUAUUCCCAAACUGUAAGUACAUGAUUUGAAAUGGUUAUGGUCAAGAGAAUAUUUCUACAGCAUCACGUAAAGCAUAGAGAUACGCUGCACAUGUGCGUUAACACGUAAGAACAUGUGCCUAAGACACAUGCCCUCCUGGGACAGCUCAUGCUGGCCUGCUUCCAAGCUUCCCUCAAGUCAGGGAGUAGGGCAAAGAGGGAAGGCAGCCCUGCACCGCAGUAACCCUCAUGCACAGAGGUAUCGAGACUACCUGUUCCUCUUGGAAGCUUCUGCUCUCACGAGGCAGCUUUUGGAGCUUCUCUGCUUCAUGUCUUCCUUCCCACCCCAGGGUUCCAGAUUCUGUUUUUCCCUAAUACUGGCAAGGUCUUUAUUUUUUAUAUUUAGCUUUGGAAGUAAUGUUUACAAAUGAUGAGAGAAGGCAUCUAACUUUUUUCUCUAAACAUAUGCCAAUGUCUGUCCUUUCCCUGCUAAUUUCAGUUAUUUGGCAUAACCCUUUUGUCACAUAUGGUUCUGUUUCUUGCCUCUCUAUUCUGAUCCAUUCAUCUAUUCUGGCUUCCCCACGUGGUUUUAAGUACUGGAGCUUUUUCUAUAUGUUUUGAUAUCAGGCAAAGCAAACCUUGUUAGGCUUACUUAAAACUUUCUUAGCAAUUGCUGAAUAUUUUCUUAUCCUGAUGAAUUUUAGAACUUAUCAAUACCAGAAUUGACAUCUUCACAGCGUCAUAUCCUCCUGUAAACAACCUAGUCUGAACUUCAAUGGCUCAGGUUUCCUUUGCACAUGCAGGCCCUGAGAAACUCCUAUGUUGUGAAUGAGGCUUUUUUUAAACAUGUUGUGGGUCUAUCUGUCUGAUCAACUUGCUGAAUUCAGAAUAGUUCUAUGGGCUUGACUGCUGAUUAUCUUGGACUGACUACUGUACUGUCUGGAAAUGACAGUUUCUCCUUCCUUUCGGUAUUUGUGCCUAUAUCCCACAUCCCUGUGCUGGUCAGAAUUUCCAAGACAAUAGUGAAUAGUAGCCAGGACAACAGGCUGGUUCUGACUCCAGUGUUCCUAAUGUUCUACCAAGAAGCAUGUUCCCACCACCCCGCCCCACCUUUUGGUAGUUUUAUGUUAGGUAGCCUUAUCAGGUUAGGACUUUUUUUUUACCCAAGAUAAAGAAAUUUUAUUGGGAAUGGGUGUAAGUUUUAAGAAAUGUAUUUCAACACCUGCUACAAUGGCCACUUAUUUUUCUAUUAUGGUAACAAAUUACAUGAAUACAUUGUUUAUCCUGGGAGAAAACAUACUUGUGAACUUUUUAGGUACUGUGUUUGGAAGCAGAUUUGCAAGUGAGAUGAAAUGUCAGCUGUAUUCUCCUGGUUAGGUUUCAGGGUCAGGUUUGCCUGAUAAUGAAGUAAAAUGCUUCUAACUUUGCUCUAGAAGAGUUUCUACUGCAUGGGAAUGAUCUGUUCCUUGAGGGUCUGUCACAAUCUGCCCACAAUGGACUGGAUUUGGCAUGAAGGAUGUUAAUUUCUGUGUACUGUGGAAGAAAAAUACAGUUUAGCAAGCAGCAGAAACAGACUGAACAUGAAUCUCACCGUCCUUCUCUCAGCUGUAGCUCCUUCUGUGUCUGCAAUCUGGCUUGUUCCCAUGACAAAGGAACAUCGUAUUUUUUCAAAUCAUUUUUAAAAAAAUAUACACAUAUUUGGCCAUCUUCACUCAGUGCCUCUGAGAAAACAAUACAAAAACAGAUAAAGAGAUUAGUCUGGACAACACAGCAAGCCCCCGUCUCAAAAAACAAAAAGAAAACCAGGUAAAAAUAAUAUAUAAAGAGCAGCAGGUGGCCAUUUGGCAUGUGCUUAAAUUCACUGAUUUAAGGGCAAGUCCUUCGAUUAUUUAAAGUCACACAAUUAUGUGACUUCCAUACUUUGAUUAAAUAGGCUCCCAGUGUCCAUGCAUCAGAGUCCAGACAGGCUGACAUCCAGACUGCAGGGCCAGUAAGGACUACUCAAAAGCCACAGAACCCUAACAGCCAGCCUAGGAAGCCUGUCUUAGGGAGGUGACUUCAGGCUCUACUGGAACCUUCUUGGCUUGUUUUCAAUGUUUCUAAGUCACUGACUUGAGGGAGGAAGUCCUAAGGAAAAGAAGGGUAGGCACUCAAGAGAAAAGAAGCAACAUCAAGUAAACGUCUUUCUUUGCAGAAACUACCAGAAAGUCUUGUGAGGCACUGAUCGCACUGCACCAAGGUCUAACUACCUGAUGUAACAGGAAGCCGGGGGGGUGUCCAGUCUCUCAGCUUGUGGUUGAUACACAAGGCGAUGAGAUCAUCCCAUGGGAUCUCCAUGACGGAGGGGCCUGCCCCAUGGACUGCGGAGAGGCUCUUGCUCUUCCACCUACGGUAGGUUCUGCAGAGCAGGUUCUCCACCUGGGACUGGAGGACAGGCUGCGUCUGGCAUGAGCUGGGGAUCUGAGAAGCGUACUGCACAACCAUGGAGCACACGGGGAGCCAGGGGGCUGGGGAGAAAGUGCCUCGUUAGUUACAGGUUUGCCCUAAGUACAGGUGAAAAUGUGUAUGAAAAUAUUUUUAACUCUAUUUUCUUAGGAGAAGGCAACCGUGAAGUUGAGAAGUCUGCUUUCUAAACACAGCGGAACCACGGCUGCUGAGGGGAAGAGCAGCUUGCUCCCAGGGUUUAGGUGAGGGAUGCAGACAGUCCCCCUAAACAGUGUUGAUAGCAAAGGUACACCAUUCCCAGAAACUCUGUGUUUGUGCCUAGGAAUCUGUAUUUUAACAAGCACCCAGGUAUAAGUCUGGGAUAAGUUGUCUUAGCCUAUUUUGUGGUGAGUGGUGAGUGGUUCGCUUCCCUUUGGGUUCCUUCAAUUGAGCAUGGGUUAGAGGUACUACAGACCACACCCCACAAUUUAGAAGGGCACCUGAGGCCCAAAGGGGAGUGUCUAUGCUAAUGCCAUGACUUCCGCCACAUAAGCAGCUCAUUCCCUUCUGACAGUGUCUGCAUGGGAAGGAGCAGCCCCAUGCCACACUGGGCUCGAGCCAGCCAGAUGGCCUAUAGGAUCUGUGUCAAAACAGCUCAGAGACCUCAGCCAGGUACAGGGGCACAGCCAGAGCCACAGAACAAGACUUCUUUGACAAAGAAGUAACAUUAAAUCGGCACUGAGUGCCAUGGCUGUGGCUUGGGGACAGGGCUACAUGGUCCCCAUGCUCUUUGCCCCUGGCUCGUCUGUUUUGAAAACAGGGACCAUAUGAGGCAGGCAGGACAGGAUCAGAGUUGGUGUUCCUCCCAGUACCACUUGCCACUUUCCUCCUGAGGCAAGUGAACUCCCAUGGACUGCUCUGUCAGUCAGGAAAGGCCAACAGCCCCCACUUCACAAAACCCAGCUUGUUCUGACCCAUGAACAUAAGGAAGGUGCAGGCAAGCACACUGUGGGGACACCCCAUGUGCCCAGUGGAGGUGGAUGUGCAGACCUCACACUGGUGCCCAACACCUGCCAGGUGGUCACUACAGUGAGAAGGAAGCCUGAGGCUCGGCUGCAGCCACUCACCGCUCCUCCCAGCACAAGCACUUACCCCCCAGGGGCGGAAGGUCCAUCUGCGGAAGCUGGAACCCGAGCACAGCCUGCUUCAGCCAGGCCAGGUGCUCUGGGGCAUUCCAGUGCAGGUGAGGAAGCAGCCGGCUGCCCCCCGCCUCAGCAAACUCAGUGACAGGCCAGGACAGGUCGCACAGCUGUUCAGAGGACACCACGGAAGCCAGGAACUGCAGCCCACUGUUAAACAACUCAAUGAUGGCGCCAGGCUCCUGCGAAGGAAGGCCACCCAGACGCCUCUCUCUUCUGUCGUGGAAAAAGCGGCCACUAAACUCACGGCCAACCCCAUCUUCGACGUACUGAAUGAGAGUCUGGCAGCAAAGGUCAAGGGAAUGGGGGCAGUGGGAAACCAGCCACUGCACCGCUUGCAAAACCUGAGAGCAAAGACAUUCAGAAGAGACUCUUAAACAAUUCAUACUGUUUUUCAAAAACAGCCUCAUCCCCCAAGGCUGCCCACAGCAGGUAACACCAGAGUACCGGGGUCCCAACUGCGGUAGGAAGGGGAACAGAAGUGUCCUUUGCAGUUGAGUUUAGCCUUCUAGGGCCCUGGAGACAUGUCCAGCAGAGGAACUAAUGAGAGGCCCCCAGAUCCCAUCUGGCCUGAGGAGGAAUGUGACCUGCAUGCGGAAGGCCCAGGCCCUCAGGGAAACAUCCCCUUCGCCAUGCACAGAAACGGAAGCCACGUCUUCUGAUUUUUGGAAGGACUAACAGCUUCAUUAUAUGCCAAGAUGCUGUCACACCGUAUAGUUAUCUUACUUCCUAUAGUUAUUUUAAAUUCCUGGCACCUCUUUCUCUAAAUUGUUAGCAAAGACUCCCGCUGCCUUUCUUUUGAGAAGGGGGUCUCCCUAUGUUGCCCAGGCUAGUCUCCAACUCUUGGGCUUAAGCAGUCCUCUUGCUUCAACCUCCCAAGCAGCUGAGAUUACAGGUUUGAGGAGACACCAUGCCCAGUUUCAGACUUCCUUUUCAAAGGAAACAUCAAAGAACAUUAUUUCUUAAUAUAUUCAGAGAACAAUCACCCUAGAAAAAUAAUUUCUAUAUCUGACCUUCAAAUGUAAGAUGUGUUCAUAUUUUAAAUUCAUAGACACAAAAACACUAAAAAAUUUUACAUGAACAAUUUAAUCUGUAGACAGCAGGACUGGGCAAAUUUUAUCUUUUGAUUUCUGCUUAUGUUUUUAGAAAGUUAUCUAUAAAACACACACCUGCUGCCGGGCGCAGUGGCAUACCACAGUACUCCCAUAUCCUUGGGAGGCUGAAGUGGAAGACUGCGUGAGCUCAGUAGUUUGAGGCUGCAGGGAGCUAUCAUGCCACACUGGGUGACAGAAUAAAACUCUAUCUUAAGAAAAAAAAAAUGCAAAUGCUAAUAUACGCUCAAUUCAAGAUGGAGCAAAAGGGGAAAAAUCAAAAUACCUUGAUGGACUGUUAAAAAUAAUGAAAGCUUACCUUAGUUGAAGCUCGUAGAUCAUUAAUGGAAUCAGGGAUCUCCAUAACAGUGUAAUCUGAAAUCAGCUUAGCUGAAACCAAGUCCUGGAGCAUCAGACCUUUAACAGAGAGAGAGAUGAAGGUCACACACAUUCUGCUCUCAGCACACCUGCUAACACAACUCACUGUGCUGACCCACCCCAGUCCUGCAGUGGACAGUCCUACAAGGGUUGCUGUCUCAGUGACUGCUGACCCCACACUACUGGACCACCCUCAGACCAAGCGUCCACCCCUUUAUUAAACAAUGCUGGUUCAUAAACAAGACUUCCUUCACAAACCAUCCUCUACUUCCUUCUCAACGGCGUCCCCUCCUGAGCUGGGCAUAAGAACCACCAGCGGAAGUGCAGGCUGGAAGGGCUUGGCCUGCAGGAGCUGCUUGAGCUGCAGCAAGGCCGAGAGCCAGUACACGUCCUCCUCUGCCACAUCCUCACUCUUCACUUUGGGGGGAAGCAGCAGCAUGAGCCCACUGGCUCCCAGGAGGUCCUUUUGUGUCUCCACAGCAUCAAUGGCGCCAUCACUGAGGGCACCAUGGGUCACCUGCAAGCGCAUCAAGAUCAUCAGGAUAGAUGCACCACAGGACACAUCAGCAGUGACUCAGCUGCCCCAGAGCAAGUGCAGCCAAAGCUUUCCAUGCACUAAAUACUGACUGCACUCCAGACAGGCUUCCAAGGGCACAGCUGGGCACACCCUACAGCUAUCUUACUUCCUGUAGUUAUUUUCGUUCCUGGUACCUCUUUCCCUAAAUCCAAUUGUUAGCAAAGACCGCCCCCCCAACACUUUUUUUUUUUUUUUUUUUGAGAAGGGGGUCUUUUUAUGUUGCCCAGGCUGGUCUUGAACUCCUAGGCUCAAGCAGUCUUCCUGCUUCAGCCUCCUGAGUAGCUGAGAUUACAGGUUUGAGGAGACACCAUGCCCAGCUUCAGACUUCCUUUUUAAAAGAUAUAUCAAAUAACAUUCUUUCUUCAUAUAUCCAGAGGCCAAUCACCCUAGAAAAAUAAUUUCUAUAUCUGACCUUCAGAUAGAAAACAUAUUCAUUUCUAGCCUCACUCUGUCGCCCAGGCUAGAUUGCCGUGGCACAAUCUCAACUCACUGCAACCUCUGCUUCCCGGGUUCAAGCAAUUCUGCCUCAGACUCCCGAGUAGCUGGGACUACAGGCGCCCACAACCAUGCCCAACUAAUUUUCGUAUUUUUAAUGGAGAUGGGGUUUCACCAUGUUGGCCAGGCUGGUCUUGAACACCUGACCUCAAGUGAUCAGCCCGCCUUGGCCUACCAAAGUGCUGGGAUUACAGGCAUGAGCCACUGCGCCUGCCCAUGUUCGUAUUUUAAAUCCGUAGAAACAAAAACAACAGAAUUAAUGCAACAGAAUUAGUGUAGUAAAUGGCCAGUUCAACAGGUAAUUUAGUCGCCAGCUAGAAUUGUGUUUGACUAUAUUACUAACAUUUUAAUUAACCUUAAACAAGUAUAAAACAAAACUGGACACAGUGGCUCAUGCCUAUCAUCACAGCACAAAAGGAAGCCAAGGCAGGAGAACUGUUUGAGGCCAGGAGCUCAAGACCAGCCUGGGCAACACAGCAAGACCCCAUCUCUACAAAAAUAAACAAAACUUUAUGCCCAUAACAACAUAAAGAGGGAAGGCAAGCCAGCAGCAGAUGAAGGAUUCUAAUACAUUUCUAGAAAGGAGCAAGUAGAUGGGUCCAAUCCCUGGGUUAGGGAAGCAGAGGAAGCCAUACCUAAAGGCUGCAGGUGUGGGUGUGGAGGCUGCAGCCAGGUUGACUGAGCCUGCAAAAGCCCUUGAUAUCCAGGCCCUGCAGAGACCAGGAGCCAAAGGCGAAGUUCAGAGCCUGGCCCUAUAGGCACCCACCACUGCAGGCAACCUUCUUAUGCACAACCAGUCCCUCCGGGCCCCUGAACAGGAGUCCUGAGAGGAUCCAGAUGCAGGGGCGUGAUCAGGCACAGUGGAAGGGACUUAGUGUCAAACCACUCCCGGCCCUACCCUGAGAAUACCAGCAGCUCUCCAGGAAGCGGAAGGCACAAGUUCUUUGCAGAAAAACUUAACAGUCUAGGGAACAGACAUUCAGAUCCAGACAUUUGGGAGUACCUCCAAAAAGGCUGGCUUGCCAUUUAGCUACCUCCCACCCCGCCCCAAACACAGAACUCCUUGGCCAGCCUUGUAGGACCUCACUCAGUUAUAGACAGACAGCCUCGGGUAAGGCAUCUGAGGAGAGCCUCCAACAUAAAAGAGAUAAACGAGAAUAACAUAAGAGGGGGGGAAAAAAAGAGGAACCAGAUAAUGCAUGAUCCGAAGAAAACUUAGACCCCCAAAACCCUAAUUUCCUCGGAAAGAUAAGAUGAUGCAUCCAAAAAAUAAGAUGCUAUGAAAAAGUCA